AUUGUUUUUCAGCCUUUGGGCUAAGAUCAAGUGUAGCAU
rnacentral:snRNA from 1 species